rnacentral:rRNA from 1 species
GUAGGGAAUAUUGGGCAAUGGAUGCAAGUCUGACCCAGCCAUCCCGCGUGCCGGAAGAAGGCCCUCAGGGUUGUAAACGGCUUUUGACGGUGAAGAAUCGACAGGAUGCGUCCUGUUUUGACGGUAGCCGUUGAAUAAGCACCGGCUAACUCCGUGCCAGCAGCCGCGGUAAUACGGAGGGUGCGAGCGUUGUCCGGAUUUAUUGGGUUUAAAGGGUGCGUAGGCUGGGAGGUAAGUCAGCGGUGAAAAGCACACGCUUAACGGGUGUCUUGCCGCAGAUACUACUUUUCUUGGAUGAGGAGGAGGUCACUGGAACGGAUGGUGUAGCGGUGAAAUGCAUAGAUAUCAUCCAGAACACCGAUUGCGAAGGCAGGUGACUGUACCUUAAUCGACGCUGAGGCACGAAAGCGUGGGGAGCGAACAGGAUUAGAAACCCCAGUAGUCC